rnacentral:rRNA from 1 species
UAGUGGAGUGAUUUGUCUGGUUAAUUCCGUUAACGAACGAGACCUCAGCUUGCUUUAUAGUGCUGCGAAUGGUUUUUCAUUCGUAUCUUUUCGCACUUCAAAGAGGGACAUUUCGGUUUAACCGGAAGGAAGUUUGAGGCAAUAACA